UACAGAGGGCGCGAGCGUUGUCCGGAAUCACUGGGCGUAAAGGGCGCGUAGGUGGCCACCAUAAGGCCGCGGUGAAAGUUCGGGGCUCAACCCCGGAUCGGCCGCGGCGACUGUGGGGCUCGGGUACUGUAGAGGCAGAUGGAAUUCCGGGUGUAGCGGUGGAAUGCGUAGAGAUCCGGAAGAACACCAGUGGCGAAGGCGGUCUGCUGGGCAGUGGGCUCGCAAGAGUCCUUUAACCGACACUGAGGCGCGACAGCGUGGGGAGCAAACAGG
rnacentral:rRNA from 1 species